rnacentral:lncRNA from 1 species
CGAGUUCGAUCCUAGUCUCGAUCAUUACCUGAGAAGUUAAGACUAGGGGUGAGCUUAAAAUAGCUCACUAUAAGUCAAUAACAGUAUAAUCAUACAAUCAUUCACACGGGCAAAAAUCAUCAUUUUCAUUACAGUACGAUACGUGACAUAUUUCAAUAAUCCUAAGAACAUGUCAUUAGCAUGAUGCAAUAAAAAAUGAUUCUUACCCAUCCAUCCGCUACACACCAUGAGUUUCCCAGAACUUGUUUGCCAAUCACCAAUACAAUAGUGCAAAUAUACUACCAAUAAAUAUGCAAACAAGUUACCAAUAAAGGUAAAUACAAUUAAACUGCCAAUAAUGCGAUAAAUUUGCCAAUCUCCUCGGUACUCGAUGUAGUGCACUAAAAACAAUAAUACAAACUUUAACUAUAGUCGGUACUCCACGGAUCUCCUCCAUCAACCACAAUAACUCAUCCCAUGCACAUGUGAUAUAACAUGCAAUCAUUAAGCAAAAUCAUGCUUUCAAUUUGGUUUCAGUACAAUGCCAUGUCUUACAUGCUUACGGUACCAUAAUCAAUUCAAUGGCAUGGUUAACAUGCUUACGGUAACAUAAUCAAUUCAAUGGCAUGCUUAACAUGCUUAAGGUAACAUAAUCAAUUCAAUUGAAAGCUUAUCAUACUUAUGGUAACAUAUUUAGUAUAUGGAUUGCAAGCAUUUAGUCAGUCGAUACAAUGGGAUCACAACCAGACAUAGUUAUUAUGCAAUCAAACAAUAACUCAAUGAGUCGCAUGCUAUACAGGUCCUCAAUCAAACAAAGUUAAAACCCACACAUUAAAAUAGCAAGUCCGCAAUACUAAUCCAUAAAGCUUUUGCUUCCACCCUUAAACCUUAAACGUGACUAAAAAAAUUACAAUAUUUAACAUAUUAAAAUAAUGUUAAAAAAACUUUAAACACCUUCCAAAUGGUUCGACCAAAUCAAUGUUACACCCACCAAUUUCUAGAGAAAUUCGGCAAGGAAAAUUACACUGAUUUAAUGCAAAAUGAGGGCACGAAUGGAAUCCGACUUCAUUGUUGAUCCGGGAUGUUCAAAUUAGUUUCUACAACCAAAAUAUUAUUGAAAAUAAGUAAUUUAAAACCAAUUACGAGCCCUAAAAAAUCAGCCAUAGCAUCCUCUAUUAACGAAAACAAUACUAUGUAGUUAUUCGCACCAAUCGCACUUACGCUUUCCGUUUUACUAAAUCCGAGUUGCCAAACGAAUGGGAUCAGAAACACUUAUAAAGGACAAGACCGAAGGCUGAUUAGAAUACAGGAACAACGAAUUAAACUUGCUGAAGAGUGGCAGAAAAGAGAAGAAAAAUGGCAGCCCCAUAAUAAUGAUUCAAGGGACGGCAUACCACCACAAUUGGCACAAUAAGGGGCUAUUUUUGUUCAGCACCAAAAAGGGAAUUUAAGGGCUGGUUAGGGAUUGUUUUUAGACUUGAAAAAAAAGGAAAAAAGGCUGGAAAUGGAGCAUAAAACAUCAAUUAAUGGCUCGAUAUGACAACCAACAAAGGGGAUCUAAGGGCAACAGAUACCACCAACGGCGGUAGCUCUAAGGCUAGUUUGGGGUAGUUUAAAAGGGGUGUUUAAGGGUUGAUUUGAACAACAACAAAAAAACAUGAGAUCUCAACAAAACAAUAGCUUAAAAUCCACAACAAAGGAAAUAAGACGAAGGAGAGAAAGAAUGGCACUUACACUGAGAAGAGAAUGAGCAGCACAAUAGAGUUUUUUGGGGGUAGCACAGUGAAGGAGAAAUGAAGCAAAAACGAGAGAAUUUGAGAGAAGGAAAAGGAUUGGAUGGAUACAGCAAAAGAAAAGAUGAAAAAAAGGCUAAAAAAUGGUUGAAAAUGUUACAUUUAUACUUACAUUAACUAGGCUGGGUGGCACAAAAAUAGGAGAGGAAAAUAGAAAAAAUUUAGUCAUUUUGUAAGGGAAAGGAAACAAACUCGGGUAUCUAAUCCAACUACACUCGGUCCUUAUUUUCUCUUCACCUUU